UUGCGUCACAUCUAGAUCCAUGCCAAUUUCUUCAUGCCUAAUUGGAUUUGGAUUGUGAUUUUAAUGUCAUGAGAGAAGAUCCAAUAAGAGUGGUCAGGUAUAGCUGAUGAGUCAUAAUAUUUUCUCUUGUCUAAUUCGAAUGCGAUCUGAAUUAGACAUAAGAUAUAGACUAAAUUUUUUUUUUGUAUAUAGUAUAUUGUUGGAGUCAUAUUAUUUUUUUUUUAUUUUUUAAGUAAAUUAUUUAUUAUGUGAUUUCUUCUCCACAUUUUAAUAAAUUUUUUUGAAAUUUUUGGGGAUGCCAAAAAGAAGUUUUGGUGUUGAUUUAUGUCA
rnacentral:lncRNA from 1 species